GCAGCCUCGCGUGCACGCAAGCUAGCUUGAGCACAACCUGGCGCGCUCCUUCGAAGAGCUGAUAGGCACUACAAAUGAUAUCCUGUUAUGCUGUAACAUAUUGUGAACAUUCAAAAGUGAUCCAAGAAAGAGAGAGCCAGAAGCUGCAACAUGCUCCAAUCCCAGUGUAACCAUGCAAGGUCUCCCUCACUCUUGGUGGUGUCGCAGCUACCACCACACUUGGAGCUCUGGGCUGAGUCUUCCAUUCCACGGAUAUCUUCACCUGCAACAGAAACCUACACCCUCUGCAGAUGAGAGGCAGGUCAGAGCCAUUGUAGCCAAUAAACUGGACCACUGGCUACACUGUGAUAUACUGAGAUGCCUCCACUUAUGAUGCUGCGUUUCAUUUAAAGUGUGAACUCAGAAUUUUCAACUGGAAUGCCGUCUUAAGUCGGAUUUGCAUCUCAGAAAGUCGGGACUGGCCUGUCAAGCCUUAGUUUGUCUGAUUUCAGAUCAUGACAUCAAAUUCAAAAUGGUGAUGUGCACCACAAACUUCUGUGAAAGCUGGAGUAUUAUACUGUUUAUUAGCACUUUUAUCUACUUGUGCCUCAUUAAAUCAGUCAAGCACACAUUAUUGUGAAACUUAUCUAUGUACAUGUUGCUACUUUGUGUGGAUACGUAAAACACUGCAUGUUACCAACUGCUAUUUAUUCCAAUGGAGCAAGCACAACAAAGUUUUACCUGGACAAGUCCACGUUGGUUUUCCAAAUGUUUUACUUGAACACGACUUACUCUGGUGUCAUGUUCUCUGGUCUAACAUCCAAGCUAAAUGGAGUGCAGCCAGAGAAAACUGCAUAGCCAUUGCAUCAUUUAACAAAAUACAUCAUGCUUCUAGUAUUCACCUAUGAC